AUUGAACGCUGGCGGCAGGCUUAACACAUGCAAGUCGAGCGGUAGCACAGGGGAGCUUGCUCCCUGGGUGACGAGCGGCGGACGGGUGAGUAAUGUCUGGGAAACUGCCUGAUGGAGGGGGAUAACUACUGGAAACGGUAGCUAAUACCGCAUAACGUCGCAAGACCAAAGAGGGGGACCUUCGGGCCUCUUGCCAUCAGAUGUGCCCAGAUGGGAUUAGCUAGUAGGUGGGGUAAUGGCUCACCUAGGCGACGAUCCCUAGCUGGUCUGAGAGGAUGACCAGCCACACUGGAACUGAGACACGGUCCAGACUCCUACGGGAGGCAGCAGUGGGGAAUAUUGCACAAUGGGCGCAAGCCUGAUGCAGCCAUGCCGCGUGUGUGAAGAAGGCCUUCGGGUUGUAAAGCACUUUCAGCGAGGAGGAAGGUGGUGAGCUUAAUACGCUCAUCAAUUGACGUACUCGCAGAAGAAGCCCGCAUCCCCG
rnacentral:rRNA from 2 species